UACGAACUGUGCGAACGUUAUUCGGAAUCACUGGGCUUAAAGGGUGCGUAGGCGGCUGCCUAAGUCAGGUGUGAAAUCUCCCGGCUCAACCGGGAAACUGCGCUUGAUACUGGGCGGCUCGAGUGAGGUAGGGGUGUGUGGAACUUCCGGUGGAGCGGUGAAAUGUGUAGAUAUCGGAAGGAACGCCAACAGCGAAAGCGGCACACUGGGCCUUUUCUGACGCUGAGGCACGAAAGCCAGGGGAGCGAACGGG
rnacentral:rRNA from 1 species